GCGGCCGGCACCGGCCGGUGGGCUGGAGCCCCGGCGGGCCGCUCCUGGUGAUCGGCUCCUUACCAGCUCACCUCUCACCGCGCAUGUUUGGAGGUGCUGAGAAACAUAAUGUCUGUUCCCCAAGAGCCAGCUAAUCAUUUUUACUAAGUACGAUAAUUGGCUGCCCUGAUUCAGAUAACAUAUCCUUAUUGUGACAUAGGGGUGACUAUUGUCAGAAAACCCUGAAAAUGUUUUAAAACAAGAACUAAUGGGGCUUGGCGAUUCUUGCCACGCUUUUCCAGAGCUCGGACCUUGCUAUUAUUUGCUACUAGACACCCACAAACCCUUGCUUGUUAAACUGAUCGCCUUCAAGACUCAAGAAAAGCGCCAUGCGGCUCCCUCCUAGGGCUCUCCUGACCUUUCCUCACCAAUGCCGAGAGUGGUCCUGCUGGAGAACGCACACGCCUGCAGUUCGUGCACCUUUUCCCGGAGCUGCACCAGGAAAUUAUGGAUCAACUGGAAGCAGCCAAGAAGAAGGGUCUUGGCGAUCACAUCCAGCUAUUCAGCCAUCUCAGACUGCGGACCUCCGUGCACCCCCUGGCAGGUUCCCUCCGCCUAGGGUCGAAAGCUUCAGAGGCAGCCCCAACUCUUCCACUUCUUCCUCCAUCUCUGGCUCCCAGGCUUGGGAGGCCCCGCGCCACCGCUUCAACUGGCUGGGGUGGGAAGAUUGAAACGGCUCUUGAGACUCUGCUUUUGCGCUUACUGCUCGUUUGCCCGACUAUUUUCUCAUAGUCCCUAUUCCAGUCAAUUUCUGGCACAGCCCAGCUUGAAACUGCUCUUGAGCCUCCGAUUUUGAGCUUACUCCUGGUUUGCCCGACUAUUUUCUCAUAAUCCCUGUUCCGGUCAGUUUCCGGCACAGCCCAGCUUGAAACAGCUCUUGAGCCUCCCCUUUUGAGCUUACUCCUCCUUUGCCUGACUCUUUUCUCAUAGUCCCUGUUCUGGUCAAUUUCCGGCGCAGCCCGGCUUGAAAUGGCUCUUGAGCCUACGCUUUUGAGCUUACUUCUCAUUUGCCCGACUAUUUUCUCAUAGUUCCUGUUCCGGUCAAUUUCCAGCGCAGCCCAGCUGAGUUGGGCGAGGUCUAGAAAGGCCUGACUCGCCUCUUGGCCUCAAUGACUUGUACCCGCUGCUUUUGCAGACCUCCCGGUCUUCAUGGCAACUGUGAAAUGUGGGGUGGGGCAAGCACUUAUCAUACACUGUAAAGAGGCAAUAUGUCUAGCUUGUUAGAGGGUGGGCUCUGGAGUCAGACUUCUGGCUUUGAACCCCAACUUCCCUGCCAUUUUCAAAUGACACUGGAGAAGUCACAAAACCUAUUUCUGUCUCAGAUUCCUCCCCAGUAAAAGUGGGAUAUUAAUAGUACCUCCUUUGGCUUGAUAUGAAAAUUCAAUGAGUUGAUAUAUGCAGAACAUCUUAGAACAGCAACUAGCUUAGAGUAAAUCUUCAGUAAUUGUAAACUGUGAAUAUACUAUGUUUUUGGCACUGAAGCCACGUCGUGGUAAGACAGUGCCUGACCUCAAGAAGCUCAGAGUCUAGUACUGGAGACAGGUGAACAAAUACUUGCAAAGUGUGUGGUGUGAGAGAGGUGUGACAGGUGGGCGGGAGCCUGCAGCAGGCACAUCUGACCCAUCCUAGGUGUGUGUUGUGCAGAAAAGUUAGCCUAGGCUUUCUAGGGGCACUGAUGUCUGGGCCGAGUCUUGUAGGGCAGGGAAUUAGUCAAGGGGAGCUGUAGUGAUCCAGCUGGGGCUGAGCAGGAGCUGAAAGUGAACAGCUCACAUCUGUAGGGUUGCCAGAUUUAGCAACGGAAAGUACAAGAUGCCCUAUUAAAUGUGAAUUUCAGAUAAAAUAAUAACUUUGAAGAAUAUGUGUCAUGCAAUAUUUUUAGUAUAAGUAUGUCCCAAAUAUUGUAUAACCACACACAUUAUUCAUUGUUUAUCUGAAAUUCAAAUUUCACUGGGCAUCCUAUGAAAAGUCUGUCAAUUUUAUCUGUCCGCAUUUAGGAAGGUGCAGUAUGUUUCAGAGUAGCUGGAGUGAUGCAGGGAGGAAAGGCAGAGUGGGCCGGAUGGGGCUGAGAGGCACACAGGAGGCAGUUUGUAAAAAACCUAUGCUAUGUUAAGGGAUUUAGAUUUUAUCCUGAAAUUAGUGAUGAGCCCUUGGAGAGCUUUAACCACAGGGAUGUGAAACCACAGAGACAGCAGUGUCGGGCACGAAGAAAUGAGUGUCACUUUCUAUGGCUGAAUAGCAAAUUACUCCAAAUUUAAAGUCUUAAACAGUAAACAUUAUCUCCCAGUUUCUGUGGCUCAGGAAUUCAGAGGCAACUUAGCUGGGUGGUUCUGGCUGAGGUUUCUCAUGAGGUUGUAGAUAAGAUAGUGACCAGAGUGGCAGUUAUCUAAAGGAUGCACUGGAGCUGGAGAAUUUGCUUCUAGGGUGACUCACUCUAAUGGUUGGGAAGGUACUGCUGGCUGUCAGCAGGAGAGCUCAGUUCCUUGCUACAGGACCCCCCAUAGGACAACUUGAGCCUCCUCACAACAUGACAGCUGGCUUAGUAAUCCAAGACAGCAAAGUGACAUUAACUUUGGAAGUCACAUGCCACCUUGUCAUUCCCAUAUAUCCCAGUGCUAACACAGCUCAGCCCUGCUCAGUGCAGGAGGGUCCUACACAAGGAUGUACAUACAAGAAGGUGGGGAUCAUGGGGUUAUCUUGGAGGCUGGUUUUCUGGGAUGGGAGGCUUACAUGGUGAUGCCUGUGACCUUGGAGGUGGAGGAGAAUGAUGGGCGUACAGAGGAGUGAAGAAAGGCUGGGAGGAAUAGAGAUGUGGGAGAGGAGGUGAGGCAAAGAAAAAAGAAAGGAGGAAGGGGUGUUGGAGCAGAUUGUAGUUGAUCCACAGCAAAGAGCAUCACCAAAGCCAUUCCAGGAGGAACUAGAUCCACCACUUCCUCUGCUGGGCAUGCUCCAAAAAUGGUUGUGGCCUCCAGAGAGGACUCCAAAAGAAAGCACAAAAACUAGACAGUGGGAGGGCAUACCCAAAAGCCCUGAGUUUCUGAAAAAAUAUUGAAAGUUUCUAUGGUGAAAUAGGAAGUUAAUGUGCUUAGGAAGAAAAAAGUGGUAAUGAUUCAAGGAAACAUAAUCACACACGGUUUUAGUUUUAAUGGACAUGGGAGGAGCCAUAAAAGUAGUCUAUCUAUCAUCAGUUACAUAUCUAAUGAACUGUCUAUCUGGGAUACCCUAUCCUGUUUUAAUCUGAGUGACUCUCUCUCAGCUGAGAGAGCUGGACAGACUCCAUUUUAGCCUCUUCACUUGCAGUCCCCUUAUCCCCCUCCCUUAAGGGAAUAACUAGUGCAAGCUGACUCCAAGCACAUCCAGGAAUGCACUUACUGAUAAGAUAUUGAGGCAAGCUGUACCAGCAGCUCCUGGGGACGUGCUCAGUGGAUGGUACCCAAGCCCCUGCAUUUAUCUCUUUGUGAUAGUUUAAGCCCCUGCACCUGGAACUGUGUAUUUUUCUGUAACUAUCUCUGUAACCAUUAAUUUUUUUUAACUUUUUGCGUGUUCUGCUUCUGUAAAAAUUGCUUCAGCUAGGCUCCCCCUGCCCUAUUUAGACCACGGUAUAAAAAGAAAUCUAUCCCCUUCUUCGGGGCUGAGAGAAUUUUGAGCUCUAGCCAUCUCUCGGUCACUGGCAAUAAAAGAACUCCUGAAUUAGUCUCAGAGUGUGGCGUUUCUCUAUAACUUGCUUGGUUACAACAUUUGGAGGCCCCAGUGAGAUCUGCUAGUGGGUGAAGACCGGACUCGCUCUGGGCUCCCCUGGACAGACGGCGGGCUUAUAGGGGAGGCACCCCCUGAAGACGUUCCAGGGCCCUGUAGGCCACCGUCUUCUGGAGGGGAACGGAUUGACUGCCGUUGUGCCCGGCCAAAUUCAACUCCUGAGUCCUCAAUCUCUGGUCUCAGGAAGGUAAGUCAGAUCUGACUCUGUCUUUCUGGGAGGGAAAUGGCCAUGACGAGGGUCCUCCCUCAGACUCUGUCCAUAUUCCAGGAUGCUGGAGGACAGAGUCCUGGUUUCUGUCAUGUUUCUCUGUUAAGCUUCU
rnacentral:lncRNA from 1 species